AUUCAGCUCACAGUGUGUAGUCGAUGGAGAUCCAGGAGUAUGUUCGAUGGGAUCCGUGGAAUUGCUCAGCUGGCCAGGUGCAGGCCUCUGUCUUCAGGGUGGACUGAUCUACUUUGCAGGUUACCCUACAUGUGCUGACUAGAUCUCCACUGACUUAAGUGGGAGUUUUGACUCCUCUCUCACACAGAUCACUCUCUCAUCCACCUGCAAUUGGAUGCUUUAAGGUGGAAGUUGAAUCCCUCUCAGUGUCCCAUGUCUCAUCUGAGCAUUUCAUAUUUGUUGGUGAGCAACAAAAACGUCAUGUGUUUGAGUACCUGUUCCAUUUGUACAGUCCUAGCUCUGGCAGGAACAGAACCCAUGCUCCCUGACAUUCACACCAUUUCAAGCUAGUAGAUAUCACACUUCCAAACUCAGUUAGUUGGAUCUUUAGAGUUUUUAUUGUCAGAAUUAUCUUCCAAUUUGAAGGUUCAUCAGAGUCUGUCAAGAUCAUACAGAAAACAACACCCAUGGAACUGUGUGAUGCUCCAGUGUUGCGUGUAGCUACUAAUUUAGCUGUAUUCCAUGGGUUGUCUUCUACGUGAUGCCUGAGCUUCAGCCUCUAAUUGCUCUAGAACAUAGUUCACGUGUGCAUGGAGAACAGCCUGUUGGAGGGUUCCCAUGGCCAAUGCUGUUCUGUGAUUCUGUGUCUCAGAAGGACUCUCUGAACUACACAAUAGUUCGUUUCCUUAAUGGAAUGCGUGAAUUUGUUUAAUGUAGCUCUUAACAGUUAGCCUGUCGUUGUAGGUGCUGAAUUACUUUCAGUCAUUUCUGGCAAUAAGGAGCUUUUUCAGGAAUGGUUGCAGUCAGUGGUUUCUUAAUGUGCAAAGUUAAGCUACACAGAAGAAAAAUCAGUAUGAAUAUCUCAAGACAGAUGAAGUAGUUUAUCAGCCUAACAUUGGUAGAGCUCUGAAGCAUGUUCUCAGAGGCAAGGUGUAGCUGUUCAGUGUGAUUUUUUUCUUAUCUGUAACCUCUUGGCUUCCAGUUUUGAUACUGGCAGGAUUACAGGGUCCUGGCUAUACAUAACUGACUGGUGCUGCCUGUCUGCUGUGUCCUAGCUCUGGAGAGUGAUUUCAUGCAUGCUGAGCCCCAGAUUUGGUAGGAGCUGAAAACUGGAAAUUGCUGCCUCUCUGAAACUACUGCUCUUCUUCAAGCUGUCAUGGCAGGGCGUAAUGCUUUGCCACACUAUCUGGGAGAUGCCAGUUGCUAUUUUUUUAAUUGUAAAAUAUUGGCUGGGCUAGUGUGCCAUAGGACACUUCUGGUCACGUGUCGACCUUAUGAAGAUGACUACCUGUAAAUUAAGUUUGGAGGUUUUCCAGGUGAAAACUGUCUAAUAUCUACAUUAGCUGACUAGUAUUUAGCUAGAUUAUAAACGAACAGAAGCUGAAGCAUUCUGGCAAUAUUUUCUUAUUCUAAGGAAAAGACUUCAGAAAAUAUUCCAACAAAUAAAACUUGAAAGCAUUAAUCUUUUAACAUAGAACUUAGAGAUACUUAUGGAUUAUAUUGGUAUUGCAGGUUAGAUAGUAGGAAAAACAAUUGAAAAACUGAGCUUAAAGCCUAAAUAUAUGCUGAUUAAAUAUAAAUAUAUGCUGAUCUCUUGAUUUUAAAAGUCCUGAUUGUUUCACGUCAGCAGUCUCACUUUUAUAUAAGCUAAUGCAUACUAAGUGUUUUUUUAAAUUUGACGUGUGUUAUAGUUGUUCUGUAAUGCUUUCAGUGUCUAUGAAAAUAGAUCAGUUGAUACAAAAAUAGAUCAUUGGAAUAGUGUGCUGCGUUUUGGCUUAAGCAGGUGUGAGGAACUAGUGUUGCUCCCAAGUUGCUGCAUGCAAAUGAAGGCCCCCUUCUUUCUUUUCUUAGACCUUGGUGCCUCAGUCCAGGCUUUCCCCCUUCCAGAUACUGAGCAGCAUCUGGAAAGGUCAGUGCUGCCCUAUUAGGAAAUGCCUAGAGGAGUAUUUUAGUGUUUUAUCUUUCUGAACUUGUUCACUUCUCUGAAGUAAAAACGUUAUCUAGCCAAUUCAUUUCUUAAGAAUUUGUUGUUGUUGUUUUGGUCCUCAGCAGCAAGAUGUAGGGGCUCUGACUUCCUGUGCGUAUGGGUGCUCUCAAUACUUUGCUGAUGCAAAUAGCCACUGUGAAGCACAGCUCUCUACAGUUCCUGUAGCUGACUGGUUUGCAACUUGUUGCUUUUCCUGGCACUCAAACCAGAGAAGAAAUGCAGGAAAAUGAGAUUACUCCUUUUUUUUUAUUUUACUAGGCUUGCUAUUAUUUUUACUACAUCUAUUUUUGCAUUCCUUUUAUUAAAUGAGGUAAAAUGGUUUUCCAUUUUCAGUCAGAAAGAGGGAAAGGUAAAAGUAACUCUUUAAUCCAAUUAAUGUAUUUUCCUGCUUUGAUUCAUUGUAAUGACUUUGAGCAUCUGGUAGCAAUGAGCAUGAACUGCUUAAAGUCACGGAAAACCAAUCCCCAUUAUUUCUGCUCAUUGAAGAGAAUAAAUGAAUUACCAAACACUAAUCUUUGGAUAAUUGCUCUAUAAGCAGGACAUCUUAGGUCUUAGAGAAAUUAGUUUUGUAAGUUUAUAGAACUGUCAGAACUAGUGAACUAUUAAAAGGUUAACAAAAGAUGAGUAGAAGCUGGGCUUUCUUUUUUGUUCAUAAUUAUUGCAGUUGAACCUUUUGGGAUGUGUUUAAGGACAUACUUAUUGACCAAAGUUGAACUGAAGAUGGAAACUUCUGUGGACAUUUCUGACAGCAAAAAGCUAGAACAUAUGUGGAAUAAGAUACAGGUACCUGAAAGUCAUGUUCCUUGUAUCUGCUGGAUGACACUUUGCCUUUGGAGAGCAGUCUCAGGAUGCUAGGAGACAUUAUUCACAGCUUGUAUAUUCACAGCUCCUACUCAGUAGCCCAGAGCUACCUUUGCUGCUUGGACCUUGAUGAAGUCUUUUUAUGUCUAGGAGCAAACUUCUCCCCUCCUCACAGCCACAAACUAAUUAGAUUUAAAAAAAAAAUAAUAAACAACCUCAAAUCCACCUUAAAAUAAAAAACAAAACUCUUAUCAGGUCUUCCUGGUGACUUAUUAUUAAAAGUUAAGGAUGUUUGCAGGAUAAUUGAAGAGUAAUUUAAGUGCUUCCUGGAUCUUUCCAACCUGAUGAGUAUUUUCUGUCUCUGUAGAUUAUUGUUAUAGGAAUUUUAUGCUUUCUUUUUUCGGGGGGGGAGGGCUAUGGAAAUACGUAUUUGCCUCUGUCGAAUUGCUAUUUUGCUGUUGAUCUUUUCAAAUUAUACGAUAUGUUCCUUCUGAUUUUAUUACAUUUUGUAUAUUAGGACUUCUAUUACAUUACAUCUUUGAUUAAAAUUCCACAGGGAUUCUGGCAAAGGGAUGACAACAUCCUGGUUAACUCAGAUUAAAUACUCUGGAAGUAAUUGUCCCAUGCAGUAUGUUUCUGCCUGUUAAUGAGAACUCUACGUCUUUCCUGUAGACAGCCUUUUCAUUGUGGGAUCUCUGCUUGAGACUUCCUCAAUUUGGAGAAUUCAGUUUUAUUUGAUCUCCUUUCACUUAUUUUAAUUACUGUCAAAAUAUCAGGAUAUAACAGACUUAACAUGUACACUGUUAUUAAUAUUCUGGAAGGACAAAGUGAUCCCAGUAAGUCAUGCUUUACUUCCAUUUUGAGUUGUUGCAGAAUUUCAUGCUAGUGUUGCUGUAAAUUCAUUUUCCAAGUCCCAUUAUGAAUAGUAGGAGGAAAAGCAUUCAAUAUUCACAACACUUCUUGAUGCGCAAACAAUUUUAACCAGUUAACAACAAAUGCUGCUUUACCCCUAAGGACUAUACCCUCCACAAUCCUAAACGCAGUCCAGUUGAGAUAUCCUCAGCUGGUCUGGCUGUGCUUUUAAAACCACUUUUCCUUAGAUCCAGCCACGCUCAGACCCUCAGCUGGGUGGAUGGGUGUUACAGCUGUUUUUAGUUACACACACUCUCUCUUUCUUAGUGUGCUGUGCAUAUUUGUCUCUCCUGAGGCAUAUUAUAGCAGGCACUUGCGCUCCCCUCCCUGGGAGCAAAGGGUGCUAAUGGCCCUGCAUGCCUCCCAAAGGCUACUGAGAAUGCUUGUGGUGAGCAGAAGAGGGCACAGAGGCUUCGGGAGCACUCCUCGAGAGUCAAGGAUCCACAGCUUGAUACAGACAAAGUAUGCAGGGUUGCGUGUUGCAGAUACUAGCUGUAAGUACAUAAUGUCUUUAUUUGGAAUACACAAACAAAACUGCUUCUUGCACGCAGGGACUUCUGUUUCUGAAUACACGCACAGACAUUUCUAGGAAGGUGUAAAAGCAGAGUCAAAUACAGCCUCCUAUUUUCAGAUUCCUGUUUCUGCCAUGACACAUCUCUGGUGUUACAUUCAUAAAACCUGUAGACAGUGGAAACUCUAUCAUUAAGAUAGGUCAGGCAUGGUAUUUGCCAUUGCAGAUACAAACUUUGAUGUUAAUAUUGGUUAGCAUCAUUGAUUCAUGAAAAUUAACCUCAUUCAAGACUGACUGGAAUAGACAUUCCUGUGGAUUUUGUCCACUUCGUGUGUUUUUAAAUCUAUGGCUCUCCUGCACUAUAUACAUGCAGUUGUCACGUUCAAAAAAGAAAAUGCCCCCCAUAUUUUCCUUGGGUUUAUAAGUGGUUUAACACUUGUCUUUCAUAGACCACUGCUAGUAGGAACUUGUUUGAUUUGGUAUUUCCUAGUGUCUUUUUAUUGCUAUUUUUUUGCUGACCAAGGGAACUUGGAGAUGGAAUUGCUUUAUACCUUUCUUGUGCACGUGUAAGAAUAAUUCUGGUGGCUAUAAAACAAUAUGGCUCAACUUCUGAAUUACACAAAGUUGCUGUACACUUAAGAACUUACGUAUAGAACUUAAGAGUUUUGUGUGUUUUGUUUUUAAUAAGCAACAAUACUUUUAUGGUAGAAUAGAGCAAUUGUUCAGCACCAUGGGUCUAAAUGUAGGUCCUGAAAUUGCAGUCUUUGACAUAAAAUAGCUACUUUCAUUGUCAGAAUGCACUGAAGUUCACAAAUGAAAUUAAACAUGGCACGGUAUAAAUGAGGGCACAGUAUAAAUGAGUCUGCUAUUCUUGUUGAUGCUGAGCUUUGCUUUACGAGUUCUUUCUCUAGUUACAAGGGUGAAGUUUUAUUGGGUACACAAACCAUUUGAACAGUUUGAUUCAUCUUUACUGUAGCUAUCAUAACUUCCUGCUGGUGUAUUGGAUAGAUGUUUUGCCUUUUAAUAUGUUCUGGGUUUUUGUUUAGAGACUAGGAAUUCUAUCAAAUUUUAAAAAUCAAGAACUCCUUUCAUGCAACUGUUCAUAUUAUUAAUAAAUCAAUACUAAUUCUACAACUUUUAUAUUACUGUGCAGGACAGAAAUCAGAUUGCUGGGAAGAACUUUCAUUCCCGUGCUCUGAGGCUUCCACAUCCUUCCGUGUUAAAAUGUUUGAGACAAAACCUGUUGUCAUCCAGAGUUUAACUUUUGAAUGCAAACUGAGAACACCAAAUCAUAAUAAGGUUUGGUAAUGUUUAGUGGCCAUGUCCAUCCCUGACCAUGUGAUUUGCUGUCUUUUUUGGAGGGCCUUGAAUUGUUGUGAUUAAUGAAUGGUUAAAUUCUACCAGUGUGCUUGGUGGCAUGACUGUGGUUGAGAAACAAAUUGUUUUAAACCUGAUUAUAAUUUUCUUUGUAUAAUUGAGUUAAACUUUUUGUUUUCAAGUUAGCAUUUUCAGUGGUAUGAGAACUCAUCCACAGAGAACCAGAAGCUUCUGACAGGAAUACGUAAAUCAACUAUGUAAUUUGCUGGCAGAUUAGAUGAUUAAAAUCAGUGUUUUGUUUAGUUAUCAGCUUGAGCCACUUGGGAGUGAACUAUAGAAUGUUUCAAUCAUCACUGAAAUGUCAAAAAACACGGUUGUUUUUGUUUGUAUUUGGUAGCUAUGGAGAAGAGUCUCACUGCAUGGAAACAUUCCACUAACUCAAUUUAUAAUGCUGUGCUUGCAUGGAGCCUCCAGCUAAUUGCCAGAAAGAUCUAUGAUCUUUCCUUGCAAGUGUCCUGGCAGCUCAUCUUAGAGGAAAUAGUCCUGUUUCACUCAGUCUUUUGCUGGCGUCUGUGUUCAUAGAAUCAGAGGAUAAUUAAGCCUGGAUAGGGUCUCUGGAGACCAUCUUGUUCAACCCCCACCUCAGGCAAGUCCAGUCAGGUCAGAUCCCUCAGGGCCUUGUCCAGUCAAGUUUGCAGAGGUUCCACUGUUGCUCUGGGCAGCACAUUCCAGUGUCUGACCUCCCUCCUGGUGAAAAAAAACCUGUGUUCUGUCAUGUCUCCUGCCUCUUGGCCUUUUGCAGUGCUCCCUGGAAAAGAGUCUGGUUCUGUUUUCUCUAUAUCCUAAAGCUCUCCCAACCUUUCUUCAUAUACCAAAUGGCUCAGUCCCUGGUUGUGUUGGUGGCCUUCUGCUGUACUCUCUCUAAUGUCACAGUUUUUGUUUUUGUUUUUUUUUUGUUCUGGGAAGUACAAAACCCAUCACAAGUCCAGAUGCAGCCAUAUGAAAGAAGCAUGCCCACUUCCCUCAAUCUCCUGGCAUUGCUUGAGCUAAUGCAGAACUUUUUUUUUCCCUGAAAGCCAGACUGCUGAAUCAGAUUCAACUCGUGCCUAUGAAGUCCCCUACAUCUCUUUUUGCAAGUCUGAUUUCCAAACAAUCUGCUUGCAGCCUAUACUGGUUCCUGUUGUUUUUUUUUUUCCCAUCCCAGGAGCAGGACUUUUCUGCCUUUAAACUCAUUCCUCUUGGCUUGUUUCUCAGCCUGUUAAGGUUCCUGCUCAUAGCAGCCCUGUCCUUCAGCAUGUCGUUCACUCCUUCCAAUAUAGUGGUGUCCCAACUCAGUGAGUGCAAAGUCUUUCUUUUCAUCUGUAUUCUCUCUUGUAAAACAAGGUGUAUGGCUUUACUGGUACACAGCACUGAAAGAGACUAUAACACUACACAUUGUGUGACUGGAUUGUGCACAAGCAAAAAGAAUAACAUGAAAAUAAUAGGUCACACUUCAAAUUGACGUAAGCCAAUGCUCUUUAUCCAAUACCAGUAAGUAAGAGAUACUUAGGAAGCUUAAAAUGUAUUUCUUCCUGUUGUAUGCUUUCUUCCCUUUUCAGUUUUAGGACUUGGCAAGACAGAGAAGCCCACCCUAUAUCAAUUGAUUUCUUUUUCAAAGACACUUAAUACGUUUUGGACUUCAGAACACUCAUUUGUAUUGGAUACACAGCUGAAAUGUUUCUCUACACACUAUAUUUUCUUGCCUCCUACAUGUGCUUUCUGAUAACUCUGGGAGUCCCAUACCAUUUGUAUGAUUUAUGAGAAAUAAAUGAAAGUUAAUAUUUACUUGUAUCCAUUCUGCGUGUGUGGUGUGCAUGUAUAUGUCAAAUAAAAUAUCUUACUGUGAUCACCUGAGUUUUCUGUUCCAAAGUGAGAAGUUCUGUCACUUUAGCCUCGAGUUGUUAAUAUACCAAACAGCAAGGGGACUCACAUUUUCUGGAUGUUGCUGGUAACUGCUCCCUGUAUGCUAAUGUGACCUCUUCUUGUUAAGCCAGUUAAUACUUCAGAAAGCUUUUUCUCUAAUCUUAUGGAAAAUUUGUUUUUAUAAGAACCUUUUGUGAUGGAUGAAUCUUUUGAUAGCUGGAAAAAAAAAAA